rnacentral:rRNA from 1 species
GAUGAACGCUGGCGGCGUGCCUAAUACAUGCAAGUCGAGCGAAUGGAUUAAGAGCUUGCUCUUAUGAAGUUAGCGGCGGACGGGUGAGUAACACGUGGGUAACCCGCCCAUAAGACUGGGAUAACUCCGGGAAACCGGGGCUAAUACCGGAUAAUAUUUUGAACUGCAUGGUUCAAAAUUGAAAGGCGGCUUCGGCUGUCACUUAUGGAUGGACCCGCGCCGCAUUAGCUAGUUGGUGAGGUAACGGCUCACCAAGGCAACGAUGCGUAGCCGACCUGAGAGGGUGAUCGGCCACACUGGGACUGAGACACGGCCCAGACUCCUACGGGAGGCAGCAGUAGGGAAUCUUCCGCAAUGGACGAAAGUCUGACGGAGCAACGCCGCGUGAGUGAUGAAGGCUUUCGGGUCGUAAAACUCUGUUGUUAGGGAAGAACAAGUGCUAGUUGAAUAAGCUGGCACCUUGACGGUACCUAACCAGAAAGCCACGGCUAACUACGUGCCAGCAGCCGCCGUAA